GAUGAACGCUGGCGGCGUGCCUAAUACAUGCAAGUCGAGCGAAUGGAUUAAGAGCUUGCUCUUAUGAAGUUAGCGGCGGACGGGUGAGUAACACGUGGGUAACCUGCCCAUAAGACUGGGAUAACUCCGGGAAACCGGGGCUAAUACCGGAUAACAUUUUGAACCGCAUGGUUCGAAAUUGAAAGGCGGCUUCGGCUGUCACUUAUGGAUGGACCCGCGUCGCAUUAGCUAGUUGGUGAGGUAACGGCUCACCAAGGCAAGGAUGCGUAGCCGACCUGAGAGGGAGAUCGGCCACACUGGGACUGAGACACGGCCCAGACUCCUACGGGAGGCAGCAGUAGGGAAUCUUCCGCAAUGGACGAAAGUCUGACGGAGCAACGCCGCGUGAGUGAUGAAGGCUUUCGGGUCGUAAAACUCUGUUGUUAGGGAAGAACAAGUGCUAGUUGAAUAAGCUGACACCUUGACGGUACCUAACCAGAAAGCCACGGCUAACUACGUGCCAGCCGCCGCCGUAA
rnacentral:rRNA from 1 species